GCCAGGCACAGUAGCUCAUGCCUGUAAUCCCAGCAGCUUGGGAGGCUGAGACAGGAGGAUCACGAGUUCAAAGUCAGCCUCAGCAAAAGUGAGGAGCUAAGCAACUCAGUGAGACCCUGUCUGCC
rnacentral:sRNA from 1 species